ACCAAUCUAAUCCACUGUGGCAUCCAGCAAAAAAUAUACUGGCUGCAGCUGUUGUACCUCUCCUUCUGACGAAUAUUUAUAUCAGAGCUGACUGCAAGUAUGCUGGGAGUCUCAUCACACAGAAAAUGCACUCGAUUGUGCAGUAGCGCUAAAGAUGUCUCCAGCACCGCACGGAUGUCAAGGUAGGGGAAAGGGCAGUGCUGAAUUUGACAAUUGCCAGUAAAUUUUGGCCACCAAUUCCAGCAGACAGAUGGCCGCCUUCUACAGGAUCAAAGAGCUUCAGACACCUGAACAGGAGCCUGAAAUCCCGAAACACCGCUACAAAUAGGACUUGGGUGGCACUGUGACCAACCGGCUUGUAAGAUGCAAUUCCCAUUGCUGUUCCAAUUGCUCGCACAGCGGAAAGGGAAAUCAGGCGCACAACUGCAUUCAUGCCUGACCUACCAUAUUUCUGGCCUUUUCCAUCUUCAUUUUGAAGCUGUGAAUGAGUUAAGUUUUCUCCAUUUUAAAUGAUUUGACAGAAUGGUCAAGAGUGGUUUUGAAGAAGAGCAUUAACCUCAGCAAAUAUCUGCGGAAUAUUUUGUUUCCCAUGUUGUAUUGUUUUCCCAUUCUGCUCUCUGCUGAUGAAAAGAUGAAUGUUCAAAGAUAGUUCCACUUACUCUGCACUAGCACCAGACAUUUAGAAUGACAAAAUAAUAUCAUUUAAAUUUCAAAUGCUGUCCUAAUUGCACUAAGUUGCAUAUAAAAGGCAGCAGAUGUUUCUAUGGUCUUUGUGGGGUGAAAAUAUUUGUUUAUGGGGAACUAGAGCUAGUUACAACAUCUUUUACCUCAUCUCUGUUUGAAGCCAGAAUGCAUAUCGAGGUAAAAGUGACCAUAGCUAACGCUCGAGUGUACACUAAUAUAUGCGGAGAUGCACAUUCAUCUGAAAGUUCCAUUGAGAAGCUUGCCUAUUCAUGAUAUGAAGAAUGAAUGUCUGCUACAUCUUGAACAGCUGCACUAAGUUUGUGCAUAAACAAAACUCUAUUGCUGCAGUCUUUAUCAAAAGUCAAUCUAAAUUUAGGUUUGAAAUUUUAAAAAAUAUCAUUAUCGGUUGGUAUUGCCUCAUGGUGAAUUUAUGCUCUUUAAAAACCUGCACAGGCUUCUGACUCAUUUGAGACAGGUGAUCGUCAUGGCGACAAUCUGCAGACGUCACUGAGAGAUUAAGGCAUGCAAAUGCACAAAAGUGAACAAAGCAGCUUGCUCUGAAGGUCUCAGUUGUGGGGUAAUAAGCAUAUAAAUAGUACUCUGUCGGCAAAUCUUGAAGGUUCUGCCUGGAAAAUGUAUCACAAAAUUUUAAGUUUUUAAUUUUAAUAUUGGGCACAGAUUGAAGAAUGUAAUUCAUGUUAUAUGUGCAGUGAUAUUCAUAUGUUGAAGGGGCUGAUUUGAAUGUUUUCAAGAAACCUUGUAUAUUAUGCAAAGUAUAUCUUAAUGUAUCUAUUUAUGUUACUUCAUUUGAAUGGAUAUUAAGUUUGAUUUUGGUAUUAAAUUUCAAAGUCAGAUAUGGUCAUUGACAAGUACUUACAUUUUAAUAAAUAUAUA